rnacentral:rRNA from 1 species
AGGAAAUAGAUACCCGGGUAGUCCACGCUGUAAACGAUGGAUACUAGGUGUAGCAGGUAUCGACCCCUGCUGUGCCGCAGCUAACGCAAUAAGUAUCCCGCCUGGGGAGUAUGGCCGCAAGGUUGAAACUCAAAGGAAUUGACGGGGGCCCGCACAAGCGGUGGAGGAUGUGGUUUAAUUCGACGCAACGCGAAGAACCUUACCAAGGCUUGACAUCCACUGAAUCUUGUAGAAAUACAGGAGUGCCCGAAAGGGAGCAGUGAGACAGGUGGUGCAUGGCUGUCGUCAGCUCGUGUCGUGAGAUGUUGGGUUAAGUCCCGCAACGAGCGCAACCCUCGACGUUAGUUACCAUCAUUCAGUUGGGGACUCUAACGUGACUGCCGGUGAUAAGCCGGAGGAAGGUGAGGACGACGUCAAGUCAUCAUGCCCCUUACGUCUUGGGCUACACACGUCCUACAAUGGCAUAGACAAAGGGCUGCAAGACCGCGAGGUUGAGCGAAUCUCAUAAACUAUGUCUCAGUUCGGA